rnacentral:rRNA from 1 species
CCUACGGGAGGCAGCAGUGAGGAAUAUUGGUCAAUGGCCGGAAGGCUGAACCACCCAAGCCGCAUGAAGGACGAAGGUGCCAAGCAUUGUAAACUUCUUUUGUCAAGGGACAAAAUCAGGCUCGAGAGCCUGACCGAGGGUACUUGAAGAAAAAGCAUCGGCUAACUCCGUGCCAGCAGCCGCGGUAAUACGGAGGAUGCGAGCGUUAUCCGGAUUUACUGGGUGUAAAGGGGGCGCAGACGGGGAUGCAAGCCAGGGGUGAAAGCCCGGGGCCCAACCCCGGGACUGCUCUUGGAACUGGGUGGCUGGAGUGGAGGAGGGGCAGGCGGAAUUCCCGGUGUAGCGGUGAAAUGCGUAGAUAUCAGGAGGAACACCGGUGGCGAAGGCGGCCUGCUGGACUGAAACUGACGUUGAGGCCCGAAAGCGUGGGGAGCAAACAGGAUUAGAUACCCCAGUAGUC